rnacentral:lncRNA from 1 species
GGAGCGUCAGGAAAGCAGAAAGUACAACCGCUUGGAAUUCUGCGCCAGCGCCACGUAGAUCGGUAUUGACGUGACUCCUUUAGUCUUUUCGCUGGACAAGUCUUCGCUUAAGACUGGGGGGCUUGUGUACCGCCCUGGUAGUCGGAAAUGAUGACGUGGCAUCAAGCUACUGUAUAGGCGUGUUGAUGGGACGCCUGGUUGGCAGAAGGGAAGGAAGUCGGGGGGCUCGUGUAGUCGCCAGUUAUUAAGUUGGCGUGCUCCGAUCUC